rnacentral:rRNA from 1 species
GGGGCAACCUGGCGGCGAGUGGCGAACGGGUGAGUAAUACAUCGGAACGUACCCAGAAGUGGGGGAUAACGUAGCGAAAGUUACGCUAAUACCGCAUACGAUCUACGGAUGAAAGUGGGGGACCUUCGGGCCUCAUGCUUUUGGAGCGGCCGAUGUCUGAUUAGCUAGUUGGUGAGGUAAAGGCCUACCAAGGCGACGAUCAGUAGCUGGUCUGAGAGGACGACCAGCCACACUGGAACUGAGACACGGUCCAGACUCCUACGGGAGGCAGCAGUGGGGAAUUUUGGACAAUGGGCGCAAGCCUGAUCCAGCAAUGCCGCGUGAGUGAAGAAGGCCUUCGGGUUGUAAAGCUCUUUUGUCAGGGAAGAAACGGCUCAGGCUAAUAUCCUGGGCUAAUGACGGUACCUGAAGAAUAAGCACCGGCUAACUACGUGCCAGCAGCCGCGGUAAUACGUAGGGUGCAAGCGUUAAUCGGAAUUACUGGGCGUAAAGCGUGCGCAGGCGGUUUUGUAAGUCUGAUGUGAAAUCCCCGGGCUCAACCUGGGAAUUGCAUUGGAGACUGCAAGGCUAGAAUCUGGCAGAGGGGGGUAGAAUUCCACGUGUAGCAGUGAAAUGCGUAGAGAUGUGGAGGAACACCGAUGGCGAAGGCAGCCCCCUGGGUCAAGAUUGACGCUCAUGCACGAAAGCGUGGGGAGCAAACAGGAUUAGAUACCCUGGUAGUCCACGCCCUAAACGAUGUCUACUAGUUGUCGGGUUUUAAUUAACUUGGUAACGC